rnacentral:rRNA from 1 species
GAUCCUGGCUCAGAAUCAACGCUGGCGGCGCGCCUAACACAUGCAAGUCGAACGAGAAAGUGGAGCAAUCCAUGAGUACAGUGGCGUACGGGUGAGUAACACGUGGGUAAUCUACCUCUUAGUGUGGAAUAACUCUGGGAAACCGGAGCUAAUACCGCAGAAGCUCGAGAGAGGAAAGCAGCAAUGCGCUGAGAGAGGAGCCCGCGGCCGAUUAGCUAGUUGGCAGGGUAACAGCCUACCAAGGCAAAGAUCGGUAGCCGGCCUGAGAGGGCACACGGCCACACUGGCACUGAAGCACGGGCCAGACUCCUACGGGAGUCA